rnacentral:rRNA from 1 species
GACGUAGGGCGCGAGCGUUGUCCGGAUUUAUUGGGCGUAAAGAGCUCGUAGGCGGCUUGUCACGUCGGGUGUGAAAGCCCGGGGCUUAACCCCGGGUCUGCAUUCGAUACGGGCAGGCUAGAGUGUGGUAGGGGAGAUCGGAAUUCCUGGUGUAGCGGUGAAAUGCGCAGAUAUCAGGAGGAACACCGGUGGCGAAGGCGGAUCUCUGGACCAUUACUGACGCUGAGGAGCGAAAGCGUGGGGAGCGAACAGG